rnacentral:rRNA from 1 species
CCUACGGGUGGCAGCAGUGGGGAAUAUUGCGCAAUGGGCGAAAGCCUGACGCAGCUACGCCGCGUGAGUGAUUGAAGGUCUUCGGAUCGUAAAGCUCUGUCGGGAGGGACGAAGGGGCAACCCUGACGGUACCUCGCAAGAAAGCACCGGCUAACUCUGUGCCAGCAGCCGCGGUAAUACAGAGGGUGCAAGCGUUGUUCGGAUUUACUGGGCGUAAAGCGCACGCAGACGGUAUGAAAGGUCGGACGUGAAAGCCCUGGGCUCAACCCAGGAACUGCGUUCGAAACCAUCAUGCUAGAGUAUGGGAGAGGGAGGCGGAAUUCCUGGUGUAGAGGUGAAAUUCGUAGAUAUCAGGAGGAACACCUGCGGCGAAGGCGGCUUCCUGGCCCAUAACUGACGUUCAGGUGCGAAAGCGCGGGGAGCAAACAGGAUUAGAUACCCCAGUAGUC